rnacentral:rRNA from 1 species
UUGAUCUCAAAUCAGGUAGGACUACCCGCUGAACUUAAGCAUAUCAAAAGGCGGAGGAA